AUCCAACUGACGAGUCUUAAAUUGGACGAAACGUGCGUCCUGGGU
rnacentral:hammerhead_ribozyme from 1 species